UAUUUUUUCUUCAUUUCAAUUGUUAAAUUUCAUGAUUGUUUCAUUUAUCUAAUGAAAACUUCCUUAUUUAUUUAUAUUACAAUUAAUAUUUAUCUUUCAAUUGUAUGGAAAAUAUAGAUCAACAUGAAUAAUCGAAUAAAUAGUCAUGAAUUUUUUUUUCAAUUAUUCAGUCAAAACUACAGCUUAAAGCAGUAACUUCUCUGAGCAGAAAUAAAUUUCAAACAAAGAAAAUCCCAAGAUGAACUUCAACUAUAUUGUUUUGGUUAUAAGUGCCAUGUUUGCAUUGAUGUUUGCUGCAACAGAAGUAUCAGCUUGUAAACCAAGAUGGGCCAAUGAUUGUACAUCCGAUGGGGAAUGUUGUUCGGGUUGGUGUAACACCAACAAUGGUGCAUGGCGCCAAGGUGUUUGUGAUUACAAAUAAAUACCAACCAACAUUGAUUUUUUUUUUUUUUUCAUUUUGCAUAUUUAAAAAUGUUAUAAUUUAAAUUUUAUAAAAUUAAAAUGAUAAUUAUUAUCUAUUAGAAAAAAAAAAAAAAAAAAAAAGGUUUAAAAUAAUUUAAAAAAUAUUAUAUUGAUAUAUGAAAAUAAUAUAUUAUAUAUAUAUAUAUAUAUAUAUUUAAAGUGUUCAUAUAAAGUCAAAAUAUAAGCUUUUUUUGUUUUUUCUGAAUCAACAUUGAAAGAUUUUUUAAAUUAUUUAAAUAAAAAAUGAAAUUGGCCAGUUUAAUACCGA